UGAUAUAAGCGCCAUAAUUCAUAAUGAUUAUAUGUUUACAUGAUAAUCAUUAUGAAUUCAUGGCCUGAACAAAUAUGAGGAAAAAGCAAUUUACAAAGUAAAUUAGCGGUUUCCGAAUGUUUGUAGAAUUGCGAAAAUGACGAAGUCAUGGAGCAAUUCGUAUAUCA
rnacentral:sRNA from 1 species